AAUGAACGUUGGCGGCAUGGAUUAGGCAUGCAAGUCGAGCGAGAAGAGUUUUGAAGCUUGCUUUGGAACUCGGACAGCGGCGAAAGGGAGAGUAACGCGUAGUUAUGUGCCCUAGGGUCCGGAAUAGCCACGGGAAACUGUGGGUAAUGCCGGAUAAUAUCCCCGGAUCAAAGGUGUGAUUCCGCCCUAGGAGCAGACUGCGUCCUACUAGCUAGUUGGUGGGGUAAUGGCCUACCAAGGCAAUGAUGGGUAGCGGGUGUGAGAGCAUGACCCGUCUCACUGGGACUGAGACACUGCCCAGACACCUACGGGUGGCUGCAGUCGAGAAUCUUCGGCAAUGGGCGAAAGCCUGACCGAGCGAUGCCGCGUGCGGGAUGAAGGCCCUCGGGUUGUAAACCGCUGUCGUAGGGGAGGAAGGUUCCGUGAAGAGCGGAAUUUGACCUAUCCUAGGAGGAAGUACGGGCUAAGUUCGUGCCAGCCGCCGCGGUAAGAC
rnacentral:rRNA from 1 species